CUUUUAAAUUAAAAGCCUACCUAUUCUCCCAGAGGGCAUGCAUUCUAUGGAGACAGAGGUGAAUGUGUGCCAUCAGAUGACCAAAAUCAAGCGACAUUUUAAAAAGAAAACAGACUCUUCUGGGAAAAAUGGUGACUCCACAAAGUAAGAAGCCACCAAGACUUGUAGGACAUUCCUUCAUCUUCUCCUGGAUGGGGCAACCCAGCCAUGGAUAUAUGCCUCCAAUCAGCAUAAAUGCCCAUUGCUUGAUAAAGUCAACACAUGUGUAAGAUGACAUAUUGCAGGCAUCUGUCACAUCAAGCAAGGUUUGAAGAAGAAACAACUGGAGAAUUUUACUUAUGUGGAUGAAAAAGCAAACAGAAGUUAGUCCAGCACGGAAGUCACAUUCUUUGGGAUUGUAGCAUUGUGUUCUCCUGUAGGAGGUGAUCCAUUGUCAUUUAUCGGAAUCCAUCUUCACUCAAAAGGA
rnacentral:antisense_RNA from 1 species